rnacentral:rRNA from 1 species
UACGGGGGGAGCAAGCGUUGUUCGGAUUUACUGGGCGUAAAGGGCGCGUAGGCGGCCACCGCAAGUCGACUGUGAAAUCUCCGGGCUUAACCCGGAAAGGUCAGCCGAUACUGCGGGGCUAGAGUGCAGAAGGGGCAACUGGAAUUCUCGGUGUAGCGGUGAAAUGCGUAGAUAUCGAGAGGAACACCUGCGGCGAAGGCGGGUUGCUGGGCUGACACGUGACGCUGAGGCGCGAAAGCCAGGGGAGCGAACGGGGA